rnacentral:rRNA from 1 species
AACCGGAGCUAAUACCGGAUAAUCCUUUCCCUCUCAUGAGGGAAAGCUGAAAGACGGUUUCGGCUGUCACUUACAGAUGGGCCCGCGGCGCAUUAGCUAGUUGGUGAGGUAACGGCUCACCAAGGCAACGAUGCGUAGCCGACCUGAGAGGGUGAUCGGCCACACUGGGACUGAGACACGGCCCAGACUCCUACGGGAGGCAGCAGUAGGGAAUCUUCCGCAAUGGACGAAAGUCUGACGGAGCAACGCCGCGUGAACGAUGAAGGCCUUCGGGUCGUAAAGUUCUGUUGUCAGGGAAGAACAAGUAUCGGAGUAACUGCCGGUACCUUGACGGUACCUGACCAGAAAGCCACGGCUAACUACGUGCCAGCAGCCGCGGUAAUACGUAGGUGGCAAGCGUUGUCCGGAAUUAUUGGGCGUAAAGCGCGCGCAGGCGGUUCCUUAAGUCUGAUGUGAAAGCCCCCGGCUCAACCGGGGAGGGUCAUUGGAAACUGGGGAACUUGAGUGCAGAAGAGGAGAGCGGAAUUCCACGUGUAGCGGUGAAAUGCGUAGAGAUGUGGAGGAACACCAGUGGCGAAGGCGGCUCUCUGGUCUGUAACUGACGCUGAGGCGCGAAAGCGUGGGGAGCGAACAGGAUUAGAUACCCUGGUAGUCCACGCCGUAAACGAUGAGUGCUAAGUGUUAGAGGGUUUCCGCCCUUUAGUGCUGCAGCAAACGCAUUAAGCACUCCGCCUGGGGAGUACGGCCGCAAGGCUGAAACUCAAAGGAAUUGACGGGGGCCCGCACAAGCG